AAAAAGAUAAGCUAACAUAAGCUAAUAGGUUCAUACCCUACUUAUAAAGGUUUUACUCCUUUUCUUUUUA
rnacentral:tRNA from 1 species